rnacentral:rRNA from 1 species
CCCUUAGAUGUUCUGGGCUGCACGCGCGCUACACUGACAUGUCCAGCGAGCUCCCAACCUGCUCGGCAAAGAAUGGGUACCCUUUUUAACGCAUGUCGUGAUGGGGAUAGAUUAUUGCAAUUGUUGAUCUUGAACGAGGAAUUCCUAGUAAACGCAGAUCAUCAAUCUGCAUUGAUUACGUCCCUGCCCUUUGUACACACCGCCCGUCGCACCUACCGAUUGGAUGGUCCGGUGAAGCCUCGGGAUUGUGGUUCUUGCCGCUUUAUUGUGGCGUGACCGCGAGAACUUGUCUAAACCUUAUCAUCUAGAGGAAGGUGAAGUCGUAACA